CCAUGGAGGUUAUUGCCUUAGUUACGGCGAGUGAAGCGGCAAAAGCUCAAAUUUUGAAAUCUGGCACCUUCGGUGUCCGAGUUGUAAUUUGAAGAAGGUAACUUUGGAGUUGGCUCUUGUCUAUGUUCCUUGGAACAGGACGUCACAGAGGGUGAGAAUCCCGUGCGAUGAGAUGCCCAAUUCUAUGUAAAGUGCUUUCGAAGAGUCGAGUUGUUUGGGAAUGCAGCUCUAAGUGGGUGGUAAAUUCCAUCUAAAGCUAAAUAUUGGCGAGAGACCGAUAGCGAACAAGUACAGUGAUGGAAAGAUGAAAAGAACUUUGAAAAGAGAGUGAAAAAGUACGUGAAAUUGUUGAAAGGGAAGGGCUUGAGAUCAGACUUGGUAUUUUGCGAUCCUUUCCUUCUUGGUUGGGUUCCUCGCAGCUUACUGGGCCAGCAUCGGUUUGGAUGGUAGGAUAAUGACUAAGGAAUGUGGCUCUACUUCGGUGGAGUGUUAUAGCCUUGGUUGAUACUGCCUGUCUAGACCGAGGACUGCGUCUUUUGACUAGGAUGUUGGCAUAAUGAUCUUAAGCCACCCGUCUGAAACCCGGGGCCAAAAAAAAAAAUAAUGAAGUAAA
rnacentral:rRNA from 1 species